rnacentral:rRNA from 1 species
AUGGUACAGAUACUAUCUCUCAUCCACAGCAAAAAGGGGACUCUGAGUAGCAUGCCGUACAUACCAGCUGACGUCACAAACCUACAAGCCAAGUACCAUAGAGAGAGCAAGUUGGCAGACAUAGAGGCCACAAUGGCCUACUUCGAUGAGAAAGCGAACAAAGAUCCAGAUUUCUUCUACAGGAUAAGGUUGGACGAUGAGGACCGUGUCAGGAACAUGUAUUGGGUGGAUGGUGCUGCAAGGAGAGCCUACAAACAUUUCUGA